rnacentral:tRNA from 1 species
GCGGUGGUGGUUCAGUGAUAGAAUUCUUGCUUUCCACAUGGGAGACCUGGGUUCAAUUCCCAGCUAGUGCA